rnacentral:lncRNA from 1 species
UUUGAACAAGUAUGUAAUCCUGCGGCCUCUUAUUAUAGGCUUCUUAGAACUGACAAAUUUGACUGUUUAUGUCAUUACAAAGGAAUUCCUUCCAGACACUGUAGCCAAGGGAAAAAGAUUCUUUGUACAUUUCUUAUCAGUAAAAGGUAACUUUUAGAAAAGAUAACAAAGUGAGUUCUGGUGGUACCUAGUACAUCCUUGCAUAAUCCUCAUUAGAGGUCAUCUUAGUUGGCUCCACAAUGUCCAAGAACUCAGUCUUUUGCAAGAGCUAAACAUAGAAUGAAUGGUCACAUUGUUCUCUCUCUAGUCAAUACAAAACCUUAUUUUUCCAAUUUUUCUUGGCAAUAAAAAAAAUAGUGUCUUGUGGGGUACAAGCUUAUACUCUCAAAUCACUUAUGGAUCAUAUUUUCCCUUGGAAACAUAUCAAAGCACUGUCAGCUCCCCUCAGGGGGUCAUGUUAAAGAAUGUCUUCAAAUCCAUUUCACUAUUAUACAGGGUGCAGCAGAGCCUACUCAGUGAAGAAUGCAGUGAGGCGAGUCUCAUGAGACCCACACUAACUCCCCAGUUCCUACAACCAGAACAUUGUGGAAAUGUGAACCAGGUUGUACAGUAGAGAAAACUCUCAGCGAGUUCACCAUCCUCUGUGUCCUGCUCAGUCCCUUUCAGUAACCGUUCAAGAAAUCCAGCUCAGUAGAAACCUUGGUAGGAAAAAUCAGUUGCCACUGAUAUCCUGUUAUUUUCAAUCCUCCCUCACA